AGGCGCGUAGUUCAGUGGGAGAACGCUACCUUGACACGGUAGAGGUCGGUGGUUCGAAACCACUCGCGCCUACCA
rnacentral:tRNA from 1 species